GAAGUGUGAAAUUCACAAAACUAGGGGGGGGGGGCCAUCUCCUCCAGAAUACACUGUGGUGGAGGAGUUGGCUCUGAGUGGUAAUAAGGGGCGGCCGAUCAUGGAUGGGGUUCAAGAUGCCGCACAUUCUGACCCUGGUGCUGGCUCCUCCAAGCAAGUGACACUGGGUAUGUGUGUAAUGCAUGACUUCUUAUUUAUUAACUGUUUUAAAUAAAUAUGGCUGACUGCAUGUUCUGCAGUUGAGGGAAAUACAGUGACCCUGUUGAAGCCAGUGUCCCACACAGAGGUCAGUAUGCAGCAGACAGAACACAGUGCUUGAACAUAACCUGCCUUAUAGUUAUCCUUUACAUGGUCUUACUUUUAUUUAUUAGGGUGACGCAAAUGAUGAAGAUACACUAUCUGUAUGCUCUGAGAGAGUUGCAGAGGAUUGCACAGCCUGCCCCAGAAACUGAAGCCUCUACCUCCAUGGGUUACAGAAGCAAUGUGAACAAGGUGGAAACAGACUCUUUCAGGGCCUUUUAUAAAAGGAUUCCGGAACUAGACUGCACACUAAAGGAG